rnacentral:rRNA from 1 species
UAAGCAUAUCAAUAAGCGGAGGAAAAGAAACCAACAGGGAUUGCCUCAGUAACGGCGAGUGAAGCGGCAACAGCUCAAAUUUGAAAUCUGGCCCCAGGCCCGAGUUGUAAUUUGCAGAGGAUGCUUUUGGCGCGGUGCCUUCCGAGUUCCCUGGAACGGGACGCCAUAGAGGGUGAGAGCCCCGUCUGGUUGGACACCAAGCCUUUGUAAAGCUCCUUCGACGAGUCGAGUAGUUUGGGAAUGCUGCUCUAAAUGGGAGGUACAUGUCUUCUAAAGCUAAAUACCGGCCAGAGACCGAUAGCGCACAAGUAGAGUGAUCGAAAGAUGAAAAGCACUUUGGAAAGAGAGUUAAACAGCACGUGAAAUUGUUAAAAGGGAAGCGUUUAUGACCAGACGUGGGCCGGUUAAUCAUCCAGCGUUCUCGCUGGUGCACUUUGCCGGUCCAGGCCAGCAUCAGUUCGUUGCGGGGGAUAAAGGCUUUGGGAAUGUAGCUCCUCGGAGUGUUAUAGCCCUCUGCGUAAUACCCUGCGGCGGACUGAGGUUCGCGCUCUGCAAGGAUGCUGGCGUAAUGGUCAUCAACGACCCGUCUUGAAACACGGACCAAGGAGUCGUCUUCGUAUGCGAGUGUUCGGGUGUAAAACCCCUACGCGAAAUGAAAGUGAACGCAGGUGAGAGCUUCGGCGCAUCAUCGACCGAUCCUGAUGUUCUCGGAUGGAUUUGAGUAAGAGCAUACGGGGCCGGACCCGAAAGAAGGUGAACUAUGCCUGUAUAGGGUGAAGCCAGAGGAAACUCUGGUGGAGGCUCGCAGCGGUUCUGACGUGCAAAUCGAUCGUCAAAUAUGGGCAUGGGGGCGAAAGACUAAUCGAACCUUCUAGUAGCUGGUUUCCGCCGAA